GGCGCACGGGUGCGUAACGCGUAUGCAACCUACCUUUAACAGGGGAAUAGCCCCGAGAAAUCGGGAUUAAUACUCCGUAACAUUGCGGUGUGGCAUCACACUGCAAUUAAAGAUUUAUCGGUUAAAGAUGGGCAUGCGUGACAUUAGCUAGUUGGUGAGGUAACGGCUCACCAAGGCAACGAUGUCUAGGGGUCCUGAGAGGGUUAUCCCCCACACUGGUACUGAGACACGGACCAGACUCCUACGGGAGGCAGCAGUAAGGAAUAUUGGUCAAUGGGCGCAAGCCUGAACCAGCCAUGCCGCGUGCAGGAAGACGGCCCUAUGGGUUGUAAACUGCUUUUAUCAGGGAAUAAACCCCCGCUCGUGAGCGGGGCUGAAGGUACCUGAAGAAUAAGCAUCGGCUAACUCCGUGCCAGCAGCCGCGGUAAUACGGAGGAUGCAAGCGUUAUCCGGAUUCAUUGGGUUUAAAGGGUGCGCAGGCGGAUUGGUAAGUCAGGGGUGAAAUCCCACAGCUCAACUGUGGAACUGCCUUUGAUACUGUCAGUCUAGAGUAUAGUUGAAGUUGGCGGAAUGUGUCAUGUAGCGGUGAAAUGCUUAGAUAUGACACAGAACGCCGAUCGCGAAGGCGGCUAGCUAAGCUAUAACUGACGCUCGUGCGCGAAAGCGUGGGGAUCAAACAGGAUUAGAUACCCUGGUAGUCCACGC
rnacentral:rRNA from 1 species